GACGAACGCUGGCGGCGUGCCUAAUACAUGCAAGUAGGACGCACAGUUUAUACCGUAGCUUGCUACACCAUAGACUGUGAGUUGCGAACGGGUGAGUAACGCGUAGGUAACCUGCCUAUUAGAGGGGGAUAACUAUUGGAAACGAUAGCUAAUACCGCAUAACAGUAUGUAACACAUGUUAGAUGCUUGAAAGAUGCAAUUGCAUCGCUAGUAGAUGGACCUGCGUUGUAUUAGCUAGUAGGUAGGGUAAUGGCCUACCUAGGCGACGAUACAUAGCCGACCUGAGAGGGUGAUCGGCCACACUGGGACUGAGACACGGCCCAGACUCCUACGGGAGGCAGCAGUAGGGAAUCUUCGGCAAUGGGGGGAACCCUGACCGAGCAACGCCGCGUGAGUGAAGAAGGUUUUCGGAUCGUAAAGCUCUGUUGUUAAGGAAGAACGAGUGUGAGAAUGGAAAGUUCAUACUGUGACGGAACU
rnacentral:rRNA from 1 species